AACGUAGGACACAAGCGUUAUCCGGAGUUACUGGGCGUAAAGGGCGUGUAGGCGGACCUAUAAGUCUAUUCUGAAAGCUCCUGGCUAAACUGGGAGAGGCGAAUGGAGACUGUAGAUCUAGAGUGAGGAAGAGGAAAGUGGAAUUCCGCGUGUAGUGGUGAAAUGCGUAGAGAUGCGGAGGAACACCAGUGGCGAAAGCGACUUUCUGGCCCUUAACUGACGCUGAGGCGCGAAAGCAUGGGGAGCGAACGGG
rnacentral:rRNA from 1 species